AGAGUUUGAUCAUGGCUCAGAUUGAACGCUGGCGGCAUGCUUUACACAUGCAAGUCGAGCGGCAGCGCGGGGGCAACCCUGGCGGCGAGCGGCGAACGGGUGAGGAAUACAUCGGAACGUACCCCGGAGUGGGGGAUAACCCAGCGAAAGUUGGGCUAAUACCGCAUAUGCUCUGAGGAGGAAAGUGGGGGACCGCAAGGCCUCACGCUCUGGGAGCGGCCGAUGUCCGAUUAGCUUGUUGGUGGGGUAAUGGCCUACCAAGGCGACGAUCGGUAGCUGGUCUGAGAGGAUGAUCAGCCACACUGGGACUGAGACACGGCCCAGACUCCUACGGGAGGCAGCAGUGGGGAAUUUUGGACAAUGGGGGCAACCCUGAUCCAGCCAUGCCGCGUGCGGGAAGAAGGCCUUCGGGUUGUAAACCGCUUUUGGUCGGGAAGAAAAGGCGCCACCUAAUACGGGGCGUUCUUGACGGUACCGGCAGAAUAAGCACCGGCUAACUACGUGCCAGCAGCCGCGGUAAUACGUAGGGUGCGAGCGUUAAUCGGAAUUACUGGGCGUAAAGCGUGCGCAGGCGGUUUGUUAAGUCUGAUGUGAAAGCCCCGGGCUCAACCUGGGAAUGGCAUUGGAAACUGGCAGGCUCGAGUAUGGCAGAGGGGGGUGGAAUUCCGCGUAGCAGUGAAAUGCGUAGAGAUGCGGAGGAACACCGAUGGCGAAGGCAGCCCCCUGGGCCAAUACUGACGCUCAGGCACGAAAGCGUGGGGAGCAAACAGGAUUAGAUACCCUAGUAGUCC
rnacentral:rRNA from 1 species